GCGAAAAGCCAAAGCCAGAGUAGAUGAGGAACGAUGACAAGGACGCAGGAAGAAAACGAGCAGACGCGAGAGGGACAGAGUCGAGGUUUCAAACUCCAUCACCUCUUUCCAGGUGUUUCAGCCCGCAUGAUUUCGUCUGUGAACUGCAAUCAACUUCCUUAAUGAAAUAAAGAGAAAUUGGAGACAGAGACGGAGCAAUAACGGUCCUCCGUCAGACUCCGACAAGGGCAGUUGAGUGUGUCAUAAGUGAGGGUGGACUUCCUGUUUGAGUUUGUCCUCCAGAUGUCUCCGUGAACUCCAAAUGCUCUCAAACGCUGUCUCAUACCAUCAUCCUUCUUCAUUCCCACUAACAAUUAGGUAAUGAAAUAUUGAUUUUUAGUUAGAUUCAUAUUGAUGCUAUUAGCUUUGCAUUGAUAAAUCACUGAUGCUGGGAGCCAGACCAGGAAGACAUUACUGUGUGUUAAUCUGAUGGAUAUGCCUUCUUCUUCCUGCGUGUCUCUCUCUCUACCUGGACUGUCACAAUCCAUCUUCUACUGUGUUUAGUGCGGGUUCAUGAGGAUGGUUUAACCAAGUUCCUCUUUUCCACUAUAUUUAGGUGUCAUUAUUGGUUGUGAAUUGAGGAUGCACAUUUGUCGUGACGUAUAACAAAGAGAGAGAUAAUAUAAAGAGGUCAAAAGUCAGUAGGUUUGUGGGACCCAAUGAUAUUUGCUUGUGGCAUUUUCAUACAAAGCUGUGCUUAUUUGUCAAUGAGUUAUUUCUACCUUCUCAGAUGGUUUCAUUUAAAUCUAUCUAUCUAUAUAUCUAUCUAUAUCUAUCUAUCUAUCUAUCUAUCUAUCUAUCUAUCUAUCUAUCUAUCUAUCUAUCUAUCUAUCUCUAUCUCUCUCCCAGGACGUAAAGAAGUGCACAUCAACCAAAUAAAAAUAUUAAAAAUAUUUAUGAAAAAAGACAAUGUCUUAAGAUAAAUGGAAGAUGUUUAAAACAUUUAUGCAAAAACAAAGUGUCUGACAGAGAUGGAGGGUGAGAGAGAGGGAGAGACAUGGAAGGCAGAUCAGCGAUGGCAAUUUUGACGAUCAGUAUAUAUGAUGGGUUAAACCUGAUGUCAAAUUACUAUUUUGCUUUAACAUUUAGCCUGACUUAAACCAAAAUCUAUCCCCUAAAACGAAAUUUUAACCUUAAACCACCUGUUUAAAAAGAACACUCCCAGAAUAAAGUCACUUUACAGUACUGUCUAAAGCUCAGAAUGGUUCUUGUGAGGACAGCAGUACAACACACACACACACCCACUGUCCUGACAGCUGUCACUCCAAUCGGCCACCAGUCCGUCUCUCCUCUCCGCUCGACAACAGCCAGGCGUUUCCCUGUCAGACAACAUAUGCCACUGCAUUUCUCCGGCUCCGAGCUGCCUGACAUUAUCUACUCUCAGGCCCCGUGGCCAGCACCAACUCUCAGCCCCUCUUGCUGUUGGCACUGCGAACAUGAUCUCUGAUGUCUCUCCGGCAGCUAACUGAUGCUGUCACUGCACCAAGAUAUAACGCGACCCACUGACAAACACACUGUGACAAGGACAUACAGGCACACACAUGCACAGACGCACAAGUACUCAUGCCUUGUCGAUGUGCUAGACGACAGCAGCUGAGAGUACAACCUUUAUUCAGUAUUUAUUUUCUCCUCCGGGUUCCACCAACCAGAUGAGGUCAGCUGCAAAUAUGUCGACGGUCACAAAAUAUAUUACAAUCCAAAUGCGAUUCUGUGACUGACUUAUUUUGUUUUUUUGUUACCACAUACCCAUGUUGUAUUUUAAAAAAGCUGAAAGUUUCCUGUGGAUUCAGUUUGGCCAAGUUUGAAAUGGACCAGAUCUGACCUCUCAUGAAAAAAAGGACUGAAAGACAGAAAACUGUCAGACGACCUAAUCCAUAAUUCGAGGCGUUGUUGUUGUAUACAUAGGCAGCUUAUAGAGGGGGUUUUAGGGCAAACCCUUUAAUGGGUUAGUGGUAAGGGGAAAAAAUUGAGAAUAAGAAAUAUAAUUCCACAUGUAGCAGUUGUAUAGAAAGCGAGCAAUUUAACCAAGAGGGGGUGGAAUUUGUAUUUGUAGAUAUUGCCUUCCAUCUGCUGGUAGAAGUGGUGAACUACAGCAAGUAUGAGGCCAUGCUCAGAUCAAAGGCCAUUUGUCAGAAAAAUACUUAUGUUACAGAAUUACUUAUCGACCAAUGAUCUUCGUGGACUCUGGCAUAUAACUGUCUCCAUUCUACUAACAUAAUAAUUUGGAGUAGUGUGACAGCUAAAUACAAGCAUGUGUUUAUGUCAGUGGUACCCUUUAAAACAAAGAGAUUUAAACUUGCGAUCCCUUGUCACAAGUUGCGUACAUCUAUAAGAUGUGGCCUCUCACAUCCGGUUUGCUGGUAAAAAAAUUCUACCAGCAAAGAGUAUUGUUCAGAAUAAGGAAGACAAAACUAUAUUUCUUAUAGCUGCGUUUUAAAUAUUUUUUUACCUGCACCUCCUCAGAUUGAUCCUCCAGAGAAUUGUUGGGAACCGGUGCUGUAUAUCAUUUGCAUGAAAUAUUCUCAGAACUCGUCUUAAACCUCCAGAGAUUAGUUUGUCAAAACAACAGGUCAUGUGUAUUUGCCAA